CUAAGAAUAGUCCGCAAUGGGGGAAACCCUGACGGUGCGACGCCGCGUGAACGAUGAAGGCCUGACGGUUGUAAAGUUCUUUUCUCGAUGAAGAAUAAGGAUGGGAGUGGAACGCCCGUUCGAUGACGUUAAUCGAGGAAUAAGCCCCGGCUAAUUACGUGCCAGCAGCCGCGGUAAUACGUAUGGGGCGAGCGUUGUUCGGAAUUAUUGGGCGUAAAGGGCGCGUAGGCGGUUUCGCAAGCCCGGUGUGAAAGGCUUCGGCUCAACCGAAGUUGUGCGCUGGGAACUGUGCGACUAGAGUUCUGGAGGGGAAGCUGGAAUUCCUGGUGUAGGGGUGAAAUCUGUAGAUAUCAGGAAGAACACCGGUGGCGAAGGCGAGCUUCUGGCCAGAAACUGACGCUGAGGCGCGAAAGCGUGGGGAGCGAACAGG
rnacentral:rRNA from 2 species